GACGAACGCUGGCGGCGUGCUUAACACAUGCAAGUCGAACGGAAAGGCCCUGCUUUUGUGGGGUGCUCGAGUGGCGAACGGGUGAGUAACACGUGAGUAACCUGCCCUUGACUUUGGGAUAACUUCGGGAAACUGGGGCUAAUACCGGAUAGGAGCUCCUGCUGCAUGGUGGGGGUUGGAAAGUUUCGGCGGUUGGGGAUGGACUCGCGGCUUAUCAGCUUGUUGGUGGGGUAGUGGCUUACCAAGGCUUUGACGGGUAGCCGGCCUGAGAGGGUGACCGGCCACAUUGGGACUGAGGUACGGCCCAGACUCCUACGGGAGGCAGCAGUGGGGAAUAUUGCACAAUGGGCGGAAGCCUGAUGCAGCAACGCCGCGUGCGGGAUGACGGCCUUCGGGUUGUAAACCGCUUUCGCCUGUGACGAAGCGUGAGUGACGGUAAUGGGUAAAGAAGCACCGGCUAACUACGUG
rnacentral:rRNA from 1 species